AACUAAAUAGUUCGGAAAAGGAAAAGAGCCUCAAGCGUGUUAUAGUGUGGUUGGCAGCCACCUAUAACCGUUCGUCGUGACCCACCCAC
rnacentral:sRNA from 1 species